ACUGGUCAGAACGGGAAGUAGGCGAAGGGGAAGAAUCGAUCCUGGGAAGGUGCGGUGGGACCUACAGGCGAAGAGAAGCAGAAAAGAAAGGAAGAGAAGGGGAGAGGCUGGCGGAGAGGAAGCAGAAAAAGGGAAGGGUCUUACUCUUUCGUCCAGGCUUGGGUUCAGUGGCAGGAUCAUGGCUUACUCCAUCCUUGACCUCCUGGGAUCAAGCAAUCCUCUAGUCUCAGCUUCUUGAGUAGGUGUAGCAGGAGCAGCCAUGGGAAAGGAUCUCUUGGACACUGAAUACAGGAGGAAGGACUUCAUUUCAGCUGGGAGCAAGGUGGCAUAGGUGCCUAACAGCCAAGCUCGUCUAACAAAGGGAGGUUCAGCCUUUGUAUAGGCUUAUACUUUAGAUGUUACACAUGGAAGAAUGUUAGGUUCAUAGUUUUAGGACUCACAUGUGAAAAGGUUUUAGUUUACAGUUUCAGGAAUCACAUAUGAAAGGGUUCCAGUUUACAGUUUUAGGACUCACAUGUGAAAAGCUUUCUGGUUUGAUCUUGUUUUAAGUAAAAAUAGUGCCUUCUGGAGAGUUUCCCCAAGGCCUAGCCUGUUUUUUUCAGGAAGGAGAUUCAGGAGGCACCAGCUGGCCUGCUCUUUUAUUGAGAUGCACAGUGGGUGACAGAGGGGGAGGGAAUCCCAAAUGCCUGGGUCUUCCUCCUCACAGGAACACCAAUUAUUCUUGUGUUUGGUUAUUUAACAUAAUACCAAACUUCUUGGAGACUUUGCUCAUUUUUAAAAUUCUUCUUUCUUUGUCUUUGUCAGAUUAGAUUAAUUCAAAAACCUUGUCUUCAAGCUCUGAAGUUCUUUCUUCUAUUUGUUUGAUUCUAUUGUUGAAACUUUCCAGCAUAUUCUGCAUUUCUCUAACUGUGUCAUUCAUUUCCAGAAGUUGUGAUUUUUUUUUUUUAAUUUAUAAGAUCUAUUUCUUUGGAGAUUUUUUUUCACCCAUAUCCUAUAUAUUUUUUAAAGUUUCUUUAAGUUGAUUUCCCCUUUCUCUGGUGCCUCUUUGAUAGCUUAAUAAUUGACCUUCUGAAUUUUCUUUCUGACAAUUCAGAGAUUUCUUCUUGAUUUGAACCCAUUGCUGGUGAGCUAGUGUGACCUUUUGGGGGUAUGAAAGCACCUUGUUUUGUUAUAUUACCAGAAAUGUUUUUCUGUUUUAUUAUUUUUUUCAAUUUUGGUAGACUAUGUCAGAGGAAAGAUCUAGAACUCAAGGGCUGCUGUUCAGAUUAUUUUGUCCCAUGGGUGAUAACUUGUCCCAUGGUGCUGUACCUCUUCUUCUAUGGAUGCAGCUCCCUGAGAGCUGGACUGCAGUGAUUGUUAUUGCUCUUCAAGGUCUAGCCACCCAGCGGGGCUACCAGGCUCUGGACUGUUACUGGGGAGUGUCUGCAAGGAGUCCUGUGAUGUGAUUCAUCUUCAGGUCUCUCCGCUGUGGAUACCAGCAUCUGCUCUGGUGGAAAUAGCAGGGGAGUGGAUUGGACUCUGUCAGAGUCCUUGGUUGUAGUUUUGUUUAGUGCACUGGUUUUCUCAAGUGCUGGUUAUAUUAGCAGUGAAGUAGUUACACGGACAGACUCGGCCUCUGGGUAGCCAAGAUGUUACAGGCGGUGGAAUUAGCUGUUGUUUUCUCCAUCCUUGGGGCAGUAUUGUUCUGUUAUGAGUUGCUAUAACGGCUUCAGUUGGUUGGCCUCCAGCAAGGAGGUGGUGUUUUCAAGAGAUAAUCAGCUGUGGUAGUAUGGGGGGGCUACAAGCUUGCCCUAAGCUCAUCUGGAUAAGUAUUUGGGGUUCUUAGGUUAUGGGAAAGGCCAUAAAGCUCCCACAAGUUAAAGUCUUUUGUCUUCAUCUACCAGGGCGGGUAAAGAAAGACCAUCAGGUGGGGGAAAGUCAGGCCUGUCUAAGCUUAGACUCUCCUAGGGCAGGGCUUACUGCAGCCACUGUGGGGUGUGGGGGGUGGUUCUCAGGUCAAUGGAGUUACGCUCCAAGAGGGAUUAUGGCUGCCUCUGCUCCUUCAUACAGGUCACCAGGGAAGUGGGGGAAAGCCAGCAGUGAGGCUUCAUCCAGCUCCCCUGUAGCCAGCAAGGCCAGUGCUCCUGCCAUGUUCUCCCAACAGAGAUGAAUUUAUAUCCUGGCCUCUGGUGUACAAGGCUGAGAUCUUGCUGCAGUCUAUAAGCCUCCUUGCUGAGAAAGCAAGCAGGGCUUUCAGGCCUCACCUCUCCCUGGUUGCCAUGGCUGCUGUGCUCAUAUCUGCACUUCCUGUUUGUGCCCUACCCCUCAAAUUCUGCCCAGGAAAAUUAUGCUCAAUCGAAAUUAUUACAAAGUUCAGCGGGAAGUCUCCAUCUCCCUGUGACCCUUCCCCAAUCCCACUGUCUGCCCUCCCUGAGGGCCCCUGUGAAAUAAAGUCAGAAAUGGCUUCCCUGGGAGCUGGGAGUGCUUACAGAGUAAGCACUUCUUACUGCUUCUUCUUACUGCUGCUUCUACUUUUAUGUUUCAUGCGGCUCUCUAAAUUUAUUUCAGCUCUAAGUAAGGUUAAAUCCCUCUCCUUUCAUCUGGAUCUUCAGGUUCCCCAGUGAGGGUGUGUGUUUGGAGGCACAACUUCCCCUCACGCCCUUUAGGCAUGCUGAGUUUUUUGCUAUCUCAUGAAGUCUGCAGCAAUGGCAAGCUGCUUCUUUCAAAGGGUCUGUGAAUUCUUUUGGGUUUCCUGGCAUGUUUUGAGGUGGUUCUUGGAGCAAAGGUUCAUGAUGUGAGUCUCCACACACUGUUCUGCCCAUCUGAGUGGGAGCUGCAAGUUAGUUCUGCCUCUUAUUCACUAUUUUUUUUCUCGGAAUCCUCUUUUCUUUGUUGUUGUUGUUGUUUUUUGAGACAGGGUCUCACUCCAUCACUUAGCUGGAGGGCAGUGGCAUGAUCACAGCUCACUGCAGCCUCAACCUCCCAGGCUCAGGUGAUCCUCCCACCUCAGCCUCCCUAGUAGUCAGGACUACAGGUGCAUGCCACCACGUCCAGCUAAUUUUAGUAUUUUUUGUAGAGACGAAGUUUUUCCAUGUUGUGUAUGCUAGUCUCAAACUCCUGGAAUCAAGCCAUCUACCUGCCUUGUCCUCCAAAACUGCCGGGAUUAUGGGUGUGAGCCGCCAUGUCUGGCCAUGUUUUUCUUUUCUGCUCAGCAUAAUACUCUUGAGGUUCAUCCAUCCUGUUACAGGUAUCAUUCAUUUGUUCCUUUUCUUUCAGAGUUGUAUUCACAGUAGGUAUAAUUCACGUCAUCGCCUGUUGCUGGAUGUUCUGGUUGUCUCCAUGUUCUGGUUAUUUUGAAUAAAGCUGCUGUGAUUAUUAGUGGACAAGUUUUUGUGUGGACAUAUGUUUUAUUAAGAGUAAAAAUAUAGAAUCGAAAAUGCUGUAGCAUGUAAAAGUAUGCAUUUAACUGAAUGAGAAACUGUUAAAUGGUUUUCCAAAGUGAUGGUACUCAUUCUUCUUUUUGCAAGCAACGUAUGAGAGAUUCAGGUAUUUCACAUCCUUGUGAACAUUUGAUAUUUCCAUCCUGUUUUUAUUUAAUCCGUUUGAGUGGGUGAGUAGUUAUAUAUCACUAUGGUUUUAAUAGUGUUUUUCUCUUGACUAAUGCAGUUGAGCAUCUUCUCAUGGGUUUAUUGGCCAUUUGUGCAUCUUUUUUGCCCAGUUUCUUUUGAAUUGUUGGUCUUCUUAUUUUUGAGUUGUAAGACUUCUUUAUAUAUUCUGGAAAGCAGUCUUUGUCAGAUGUAUGUAUUGCAAAUAUUUUCUCCUAGUCAGUGGCUUGCCUUUUCAUUUUCUUAAUAUUAUCUGUUGAAAAGUGAAGGUUUAGGCUGGGUAUGGUGGCUCAUGCCUGUACUCCCAGUACUUUGGGAUGUCAAGGCGGAUGGAUCAUGAGGUCAGGCAUUCGAGACCAGCCUGAACAUGGUGAAACCCUGUCUCUACUAAAAAUAUAAAAAUUAGCCGGGCAUGGUGGCAUGCACCUGUAAUCCCAGCUACUCAAGAGGCUGAGGCAGGAGAAUCAUUUGAACCUGGGAGGUGGAGGUUGCAGUGAGCCAAGAUCAUGCCUCUGCACUCCAGCCUGGGUGACAGAGCAAGACUUCAUUAAAAAAAAAAAAAAAAAAAAAGGAAAAGAAAAAAGAAAAGAAAAGUGAGGGUUUUUAUUUUAAUGGAAAACUUAACAAUUUUUUUUCUAUGAUUUAUGCUCUUUGUCUACUAUCAAAAAAUCGUUUGCCUAUCCCAAGGUCAUAAACAUGUUCUCCUAGAUU